rnacentral:rRNA from 1 species
AGCAGCCGCGGUAAUUCCAGCUCCAAUAGCGUAUAUUAAAGUUGUUGCAGUUAAAAAGCUCGUAGUUGAAUUUCGGGGUUAGUAGAUUGGUCAUGCCUUUGGUAUGUACUGGUCUUACUGAUUCCUCCUUCCUGAUGAACCGUAAUGCCAUUAAUUUGGUGUUGCGGGGAGACUGGACUGUUACUUUGAAAAAAUUAGAGUGUUUAAAGCAGGCUAACGCUUGAAUACAUUAGCAUGGAAUAAUGAAAUAGGACGUUCGAUCUUAUUUUGUUGGUUUCUAGGAUUGACGUAAUGAUUAAUAGGGAUAGUUGGGGGCAUUAGUAUUCAAUUGUCAGAGGUGAAAUUCUUGGAUUUAUUGAAGACUAACUACUGCGAAAGCAUUUGCCAAGGAUGUUUUCAUUAAUCAAGAACGAAAGUUAGGGGAUCGAAGACGAUCAGAUACCGUCGUAG